GUCUGGACCAUUAAAACAAAUGGGUCCAUAUGGGCAUUGACCAGAUGGACAUUGACCAGAUGGACAUUGGUCGUGCCCAAAUUUAUAAAAUUCUAGGGUUUUAAAAUUUGGGGGAAAACAGAGACUUAUCUAAUUUCUUCGUCUCCUCUAGUCCUCUUCGUCGUCUUCGAAUCGCUCUAUGAAGAUCUUCAUCUUCAUCUCAAUUCGUGAUUGAAGAGUUCGUGGGUACCCAAUUCGAUUUCUAUAGAACUGUGCUAGCAAAGAAGUUUGAAGCUGGGAUUGUUUCGCUUGAGGCUUGAGCAUCGUUACUACGGGAAGAGCUCACCAUUUAGUUCAUUGGCCUCUUACGAAGUCCAACUUAUGGGUUGUUUCAUCAACUUUGUUUAAGCCUCUUACGAAGUCCAACUUUGUUUCAUCAACUUUGCUUAUGGAUUGUCUUUUUUAUGGAGUUAAUUAAACAUCAAAUUGUGUUA